rnacentral:tRNA from 1 species
GGUGCAUUCGUCUAGUGGUCUAGGACGCCGCCCUCUCACGGCGGAAACUCGGGUUCGAACCCCGGACGCACUAC